GAUGAACGCUGGCGGCGUGCCUAAUACAUGCAAGUCGAGCGAACGGACGAGAAGCUUGCUUCUAUGAUGUUAGCGGCGGACGGGUGAGUAACACGUGGUUAACCUACCUAUAAGACUGGGAUAACUUCGGGAAACCGGAGCUACUACCGGAUAAUAUUUUGAACCGCAUUAUUCAAACGUGAAAGACGGUCUUGCUGACACUUAUAGAUGGCUACGCGCUGCAUUCGCUAGUUGGUAAGGUAACGGAUUACCAAGGCAACGAUGGAUAGCCGACCUGAGCGCGAGGUUGCCUACACGGUAUCAGAGAAUCGGUCGACACACCUACGGGAGGCAACAGCACGGAAUCUUACGCGAUGCACGAGUGCCGGACAUAGCAACGCCGCGUGAGGGAUGAAGGUCUUAGGAUCGGAAAGCUCUGUUAUCAUUGAAGAACAAAUGUGUAAGUACCCGUGCACAUCAUGACGGUACCUAAUCAGAAAGCCACGGCUAACUACGUG
rnacentral:rRNA from 1 species